AUACUUGAAACGAUGAUACCAUCCAGCCACCAUCAUAAAAGAAAACAUAAGAGCACCAAGAGUUUGCUAGCGGUAGAACCAUCUGAUGAUUUGACCACUAAACAAGACUCUCUCAGAAUACGACGGAAUUCAGAUAAGGAGAAGUUUCUAGCUGAAGCAGGACGGGUUGGACGGGUCAUCAAGCACAUAUACUUCGACUACGCUGAGUACACUUCAGCACAUGG